GAUGAAGAACGUAGCGAAAUGCGAUAAGUAAUGUGAAUUGCAGAAUUCAGUGAAUCAUCGAAUCUUUGAACGCACAUUGCGCCCCUUGGUAUUCCGAGGGGCAUGCCUAUUCGAGCGUCAUUAUCACCCCUCAAGCUCCGGCUUGGUGUUGAGGCCUGCUGUAAAGGCACCCUCUAAAAUCAGUGGCAGUGCUGUCAGGCUCUAAGCGUAGUAAUUCUCUCGCUACAGGGUCCCGGUGGACACUCGCCAGAACCCCCCCAUUUUUUAAUGAUUGACCGCGGAUUAGGUAGGGAUACCCGCUGAACUUAAGCAUAUCAAUAAGCGGAGGA
rnacentral:misc_RNA from 1 species